UUAUUUCAGGCUUAAUGUCUUGGC
rnacentral:siRNA from 1 species